GACGAACGCUGGCGGCGUGCUUAACACACGCAAGUCGAACGGAAAGGCCCUGCUUUUGUGGGGUGCUCGAGUGGCGAACGGGUGAGUAACACGUGAGUAACCUGCCCUUGACUUUGGGAUAACUUCAGGAAACUGGGGCUAAUACCGGAUAGGAGCUCCUGCUGCAUGGUGGGGGUUGGAAAGUUUCGGCGGUUGGGGAUGGACUCGCGGCUUAUCAGCUUGUUGGUGGGGUAGUGGCUUACCAAGGCUUUGACGGGUAGCCGGCCUGGGAGGGUGACCGGCCACAUUGGGACUGAGAUACGGCCCAGACUCCUACGGGAGGCAGCAGUGGGGAAUGUUGCACAAUGGGCGGAAGCCUGAUGCAGCAACGCCGCGUGCGGGAUGACGGCCUUCGGGUUGUAAACCGCUUUCGCCUGUGACGAAGCGUGAGUGACGGUAAUGGGUAAAGAAGCACCGGCUAACUACGUG
rnacentral:rRNA from 1 species